rnacentral:rRNA from 1 species
GUUGAGAAGCUUGCUGGAGGUAUCAGAAGUGCGAAUGCUGACAUGAGUAACGAUAAUGGGUGUGAAAAACACCCACGCCGAAAGACCAAGGUUUCCUGCGCAACGUUAAUCGACGCAGGGUUAGUCGGUCCCUAAGGCGAGGCUGAAAAGCGUAGUCGAUGGAAAACAGGUUAAUAUUCCUGUACUUCUGGUUAUUGCGAUGGAGGGACGGAGAAGGCUAGGCCAGCUUGGCGUUGGUUGUCCAAGUUUAAGGUGGUAGGCUGGAAUCUUAGGUAAAUCCGGGAUUCUAAGGCCGAGAGCUGAUGACGAGUGUUCUUUUAGAACACGAAGUGGUUGAUGCCAUGCUUCCAAGAAAAGCUUCUAAGCUUCAGGUAACCAGGAACCGUACCCCAAACCGAC